CCUACGGGUGGCAGCAGUGAGGAAUAUUGGUCAAUGGCCGGAAGGCUGAACCAGCCAUGCCGCGUGAAGGUCAGUGCCCUAUGGGCGUUAAACUUUCUUUGUUCGGGAGAAAUAAUGGUCACCGGUGGCCUGACGAGAGUACCGUACGAAUAAGCAUCGGGUAACCCCGGGCCAGCAGCCGCCGUUAUUAGGGGGGGGCAAGCGUUUUUCUGGUUUUUUUGGGUUAAAGGGGAGGUUGGGUGGGAGGUAAGUCAGCGGUGAAAUGCCCCCGCUCAACAGGGUGAAGUGCCAUUGAUACUGGCUGUCUGGAGUGCGGAUGAGGUGGGAGGAAUGUGUGGUGUAGCGGUGAAAUGCAUAGAUAUCACGCAGAACACCGAUUGCGAAGGCAUGUGACGAAUCCGCGAUUGACGCUGAUGCACGAAAGCGUGGGUAUCAAACAGGAUUAGAUACCCGUGUAGUC
rnacentral:rRNA from 1 species